UCAAAUUGAGUCCAAAACAAAUGGAAAUUGUUUGCAUAAAACCACAUACACAUGGUAUUAGUUUACAGGUGAGAAUGGUAAGUCUUUAGUAAAGACACAAACACAUUUCAUUUUUUUCUUCCAUUAAUGAAAUACGCUUCAAACGAAUGAUUCUAUCCUCUACUGUCACAUAUCUGGGUCUUCACUGUCCUUGUGGAAUAUCAAUUAAAGAAACAUUCUGAAAAAUGGCCUCCAAAAUAUGUACAGAUGCAUAAGCACACAAUCAUAACUGCAAAAAAAAAAAAAGAAAAACAUCCUACC